AGAUUGAACGCUGGCGGCAUGCUUUACACAUGCAAGUCGAACGGCAGCACGGGGGGAACCCUGGUGGCGAGUGGCGAACGGGUGAGUAAUGCAUCGGAACGUAUCUUCAAGUGGGGGGAUAACGCAUCGAAAGAUGCGCUAAUACCGCAUAAUCUCCGAGGAGAAAAGCAGGGGAUCGCAAGACCUUGCGCUUUUGGAGCGGCCGAUGUCUGAUUAGCUAGUUGGUGAGGUAAAGGCUUACCAAGGCUUCGAUCAGUAGCUGGUCUGAGAGGACGACCAGCCACACGUGGGACUGAGACCGACGGCCCAGACCUCCGUACGGGACGGCACGCGAGGUAGGGGUAAUUUUGGAACGAAGGUCGGGGAAACCUGAUCCGAGCCAGUCGCCGCGUGAGGUAGAA
rnacentral:rRNA from 1 species